AUUAUCUAUUUAUCUCCGUAAAUAAAUAAAUUAAAAUAUUUAUUUAAUUCAAUAAAUAUUUAAAUUUAAUUACAAAAAUUCUCGAUCGUUACAACAUUGAGCUGAACCACGUGCGAGCAAAAGGCUGAAGGGUGGCAAAGAAAGGGCUUUGGGGAAAGAAAAAAGUGCCAAGAGUAGACGUUGUCAUGCGUGUAACAAAGUUGGUGUGACACGCGAUAAAAGAAACUAUCCGAAGCUUAAUAAUCUGUAAGCAAGUUUACUUAUUUUGACUUUGCUAUAUGUUUAAAAUUGACUUUGGUAUUUGUUUAAAUUUUAUUUUGCUAUUUGUUUAAAUGUAGAAUUGGAGCAUCAAAUGAUGAUGUUACUCUGGAUCCAAGUGUAGAUAAUGAUGAUAGUGAAUUAAACCCAGGUGCAAUACUCAUUUGUGAGCACAUUUAUUUUGUUUUACAUUUGUUUUUUUUUUAUCUUAAUUGUAGAUUCCAAGUGGCUGAAUAUGUUUUUCUUGUUGUUCAUUUCAGUGUAGUAUUUUGGAGCUAUUUGUCACUGCCAAUAGCUAUGCAAUUUCUCUAUAUAUCAGAUGCUAUCAUGUCCAUUUGUGAUGACAAGGUAAACAAGCCCUCGAUUUAAUGGAAAAUACGUGACUAUUAGAAUGUUUUGUUGUGUUUAUAAUUACUUUACAUUACCCAAGUUGUGUGUGUAACUGGGAGUGAUAAUUGGACUGUAGGUUGGAGCUGCACUAUCAACGUGAAGUACAUCAUCAAGACACUCCUCAAAUGAUAGUUUAUGUUUUGUCUAUCAUCGUCUCAGUGACCUUCAACUUGUGAACAACUAUGCUUUCCAUUUUAUAACUUUGGUACUGUCCCCAUGUGUUUGUAACUUGCUUUGUGGUUGUAACUUUAUAAUAGUUUCUUUUAUUUAGUCUGAAGUGUAAUGUUUAAAGUCUGAACUUAUAAGUGUAAUGUCUGAAGUCUGAACUUAUUAGACAGCUGUUUAAAAAAAUUAGUGCAGAGGAGAACUUUUUGCCUUGUCAAGCACAUGCAUGGGAUGUUAUUAGUAAGAUGUUAUAUGGAGGGGAAUAUUGUAAGAGUUAAGUUUUUUGGAAUGAAUAUUUGUGAAAAUGAUUACAUGUUUGGAGCCUCUGGAAUUUUUCUGUACAAACAUUUUUUGAAUUGCAAGGUUUUGUCAUGCUGCUAUUCAAGCUUGAUUGGAGAAAAGUGUUUUUCAUUGGAGCCAUUAUUACGAUAGUUGGGGUUUUGUUUCAAAUUUCUUCACUUCCAUAUCCUUUCCUAUUGACUCUAUCUCCAUCAGUACCAGUUUUAGCAUAAAAACCCUUGGAUAUGACCACCACUUUGAGUGAAAUCACUGUACUGAGGUACAAGGAUAAUUUUGACGCUGGACGUUUUGGC
rnacentral:lncRNA from 1 species